UGUGGGAGGGGGCUUGCCCCCGAUAGCGGUGGGUCAGCCGAAGUUGUAUCAACUGACAGCCUGUCAUCGGGGGCAAGCCCCCUCCCACA
rnacentral:misc_RNA from 4 species